GAUGAACGCUAGCGGCAGGCCUAACACAUGCAAGUCGAGGGGUAACUAGAGUGAUAGCAAUAUUACUUUGGCUAGACCGGCGCACGGGUGCGUAACACGUAUGCAACCUACCUUAUACUGGGGAAUAACUUCGAGAAAUCGGCGCUAAUACCCCAUAACACUGCGGAGAGGCAUCUCUUUGCAGUUAAAGCUCCGGCGGUAUAAGAUGGGCAUGCGUCCAAUUAGCUAGUUGGUGAGGUAACGGCUCACCAAGGCUACGAUUGGUAGGGGUUCUGAGAGGAUGAUCCCACACACUGGUACUGGGACACGGACCAGACUCCUACGGGAGGCAUCAGUGAGGAAUAUUGAACAAUGGACGAAGGUCUUACGCAGCCAUGCCGCGUGCAGGAUGACGGCCCUAUGGGUUGUAAACUGCUUUUGUACGGGAAUAAACCCUUCUACGUGUAGGAGGCUGAAGGUACCGUAAGAAUAAGCACCGGCUAACUCCGUGCCAGCCGCCGCCGUAA
rnacentral:rRNA from 1 species